CCAGCCAAUCUGACCUAUUGAUUGGCAAGGAAAAAAACGUGUCAGAUCCCAGAGGUUGCGAUCGGCUAAGGUUCCGAUCUCGAGAGAGCUUAUCAGCGAAUCGGCCGAUUUGCUAUAAUAAAGAAAUCGGCUAUAAUACAGCCGAUUACCAGGCAACGUUGAUAAAGAAAACUGCUAGAGUAAACUAAACAACGCUACAGUAGCAACACUAGGAACAGGUCUUAAUCGGCUAUGUGGAAAGUGGCAGGUUAAGCGAUAAAAUAUAAGUAAGCCGAAAGCCCUAAUUCCAAGCUGGAUAACUGGUGAUAAAACUAGAACAACAAGUAAAACCUAAAAUCCUAGUGAAUAUUGAUAACUGAUGAAUAAAUCUAAAUGAAACGACAGCGAUACGCCCGAAGUUAAAGCUUAGAUAUUACUCGAUAAACGGAACUUACAGAAUCGGUCGGAGAUCAAGUUGAUGCAGCCCCGCCAACCCGUACGGACUCGUGAAAAGAAGAAAAGUAUUGGCGAAGUCGCCUGCUUGAAAGUAAAGUGCGAGGAAAUAGUAGGUUGUUGUAUUGAUUUGAUGAUGAUUACAGAUCUAUGAAGGCGGCUAUUUAUAGCCUGUUACAACCAAUCUCUUAACCGACUAGGAUUCUAUCUCUAAUUUUAAAUGAAAAUGAAUAUUUACAAGUGUGAUUCGUAUCGGAGUUGAUUGCUGUGUUCCUAUGGGCCGACCCCUUUUAUCUUCGUAAUCCAUUUUGAGCCCAUAUUGUCCCAACUACUCCAGCCUAUCGAUCGGUCGAUUUCUAUCAACUCCCUUCGCCGAAACAUUGCAGCACCAAUCGGCCGAUCUCUAACUGUAGCACCAAUCGGCCGAUUCCCAAUCGUGACCUCCGUGCCUCGCCGCAUCAGCUGAUUCUCACCCUUCUUGACGCCGAUUUCAUACGUGUCAAAAUCUGGCGUCAACAAAUAUUCAUUAAAAUGUGGCCAUUUGUGGUUUAGUUAUAUUUUAUCAUUUGUGAGCAAUCCAUUUGAACUUCAGUAAGAUUAUAAUGUGCCUAAUAAGUGUUGUGUAUGGUCCACAUCAUGCCUUUGUAUCACAAAGUGGUUAGCAAAUUCAAAAAGUAGUGUUGUAUAAGCAGUCUAUAAACAAAAAAAAAUAGAGUAUCAUGUCUACUCCUCAUGUUCUUGUAGUUGAUGACUCUUCUGUUGAUCAUCUUGUUGCAUCAAGAGUUUUAAAGAGUUGUAACAUUGAAGGUGAAAUGACAAGUAUGAACUUUCCAUUCGCAAUCAACAAUCAAUCUUUACUUUUUUUUACCGAAGUCAAUAGGGGAAACCCCUACCUAUUUUUUUAGUAUAAUUUUUUAUUCCAAACCUGUUUAAUUCGCUCCCAGGAAGUUGAACCAUGGCCUGCUGGAUACUAAUCAGCUGCUCUAACCACUAGGCUUGAGGCCCUUUCGCUUCAAUUCAUGGAUUAGUUGUAGAACUGUUAUAUAAGUAUUGCAUGUUUUGUAUGAAAGUGCAUUAAUGGAGGGGUUGCAGCUUAUAUCACCAAACUUGUCAAGGCUGCAUAUGUGCCUAGCCUUCAUAGCUACAUUUGAUGAGCUGAUGAGGGUUAUGAAUAGAGAUAGAAUUAUGGAACUAUGCUAUUAAAUUAUAUUUUCUAUAAUCUAACAAUAGUCAUUAAGAUGUGUCCAUGUAUGGUUCUGUUAUAUUUUAUCAUUUGUGUGCAAUCCAUUUGAACUUUUGUAAGAUUAUAACUUGCCUGUUAAGUAGUCCACAUGCUGCAAUUGUAUCAUAAAGUGGUUAGAACACUCAGAAAAUAGUGUAGUAGGAGCGGCCCAUAAAUAACAAAACAUAGAGUAUCAUGGUCACUCCUCAUGUUCUCGUAAUUCAUGACUCUACUGUUGACCAUCUUGUUGUAUGAAAGUCUUAAAGAUUUGUAACAUUCAAGGUGAAAUGAUUACUAUGAACUUUCCAUUUGCAAUCAACAAUUAACCUUUUCUGAUGUAUUGCUCUUCAAGAUUUAUUUUUGAAGUUUCACAUUCAUUGCAAUGGAGAGAUAACGUAAUUGGACUUAUGUUCUUAUGUAAUAUUAUUGUUAAUGUUUUUCAUAUUCCAAUCUCAAGCAACUUGAGAUAUAAUACAAGUGGUACCUUUAUUUAUAUAUUUUAUUUUUUCCAUUGAAACUACUAAGGAAAUUUGUUUCUACACUCAAAAUUCAUCCAUGAUUAACCACAUCCUUGGUGAUUAGGUGUGCUGAUGAUGCCCCUGAAAGGAUAAAAACUGAAUAUAAAAACAUCAAUACAUGGAUUAAUUAUGAAAUUAUUAUCUAAGUAUUUUGAUUUUGUAUAUGCUUAUUUUGUACGGGUUGCAGCUUAUCAUCAAACUUGUCAAAGUUGUAGAUGUGCCUAGCCUUGUUAGCUAUAUUUGAUGAGCAGGUGAGGGUGAUGAAUAAAGACAGGAUAAUGGAACUAUGUUACUAGGUUAUAUUUCCCGUCAUCUAGAAAUAGUCAUUAAGAUGUGGAUAUGUGUGGUUGUGUUUUAUUUUAUCAUUUGUGUGCAAUCUAUUUGAACUUCAUUGAGAUUAUAAUGUGCCUAGUAAGCAUUGUGUGUGGUCCACAAAAUGUUUAUUAUCUCAAAGUGGUUAUCAAACUUAGAAAGUAGUGUUGUAUUAGUGGCCCAUAAAUAUAAAAAUAGAGAGUAUCGUCGUCACUCCUCAUGUUCUAGUAGUUGAUGACUCUUCUAUUGAUCAUCUUGUUGCAUCGAGAGUCUUAAAGUGUUGUAACAUUCAAGGUGCAAUGUUUACUAUGAACUUUCCAUUGUGUUAUAUUUUAUAAUUCGUUUGCAAUCAAUUUGAACUUCUAUGAGAAUAUAAUUUGGAUAUUACGUAUUGUGUAUGGUCCACAUCAUGCCUUUUUAUUACAAAGUGGUUAGUAAACUCAAAAUGUAUUGUUGUAUGAGUGGCCCAUAAAUAAAAAAACAAAGAGAAUGAUGGCCACUCCUCAUGUUCUCGUAGUUGAUGGCUCUUCUAUUGGUCAUCUUGUUGCACGAGAGUCUUAAAGAGUUGUAACAUUCAAGGUGCAAUGUUUACUCUGAACUCCCCAUUAUGUUAUAUUUUAUUAUUUGGUUACAAUCCAUUUGACUUCUACGAGCCUAUAAUUUGUCUCUUACAUAUUGUGUGUGGCUCAUCCUGCCUUUGUAUCACAAAGUGGUUAGUAAACUCAAAAAGUAGUCUUGUAUGAGCGGCCCAUAAAUAAAAAAACAAAGAGUAUCAUGGCCACUUCUCAUGUUCUCGUAGUUGAUGACUCUUUUGUUGAUAAUUUUGUUGCAUCGAGAAUCUUGACGAGUUGUAACCAUCAAGGUGCAAUGAUUACUAUGAACUUUCCAUUUGUAAUCAUAUUCUUAUGUAAUAUUUUCAUCAAUGUUUUUUCUAUUUCAAUUAGAUGCAACUUUAGAUAUAGUAUAAAUACUAUGUCUAUUUUAAACAUUAUAUGUUUUUUCCAUUAAACUAGUAAUGAAAUUUUAUUUCUUCACUCAUAAUCAUCCAAGCUUAGUCACAUCCCUAUGGUCAUUAUGGGCAAACUGUAUGAAAAUAUUCAAUUAAUUUAUUAGUUAUAGAAUUGUUACCGAUGUAUUCAGUUUUUGUAUAUGCAUGUUUUGUAUGGAAGUACCUUGAAGGAAGAUUUGCAACUUAUAUCAUCAAACUUGUCAAAGCUGCAAAUGUGUCUAACCUUCUUAGCUACAUUUGAUGAGCUGAUGAGGGUGAUGAAUAAAAAUGGUGUAAUGGAAGUCUACUAUUAAGUUAUAUCUCAUGUGAUCUAACAAUCAUCAUUUAUAUGUGGCUAGUUGUGUUUUUCUUAUAUUUUAUCAUUUGUGUGCAAUCCAUUUGAAUUUCUAUGAGACUAUAAUAUGGCUAUUAAGUAUUAUGUGUGGUCCACAUCAUGCCUUUGUAUCACAAACUGGUUAGCAAACUUAUAAAAUGGUGUUGUAUUAGCAUUCCAUAAAUAAAAAAAUAGAGAGUAUCAUGGACACUUUUUGUAUUCUCAUAGUUGAUGAUUUUUCUAUUGAUCAUCUUGUUGCAUCGAGAGUCUUAAAGAGUUGUAACAUUCAAGGUGCAACGAUUAUUGUGAACCUUCCAUUGUCAAUGUCCAAUCAACCUUUUUUGAUGUAUUAUUGUUUUAUUUUUUUUAUUUUUAAGUUCCAAACUUGUUGCAAAAGGAGGGAAAUAUUUUAUGAAAGUUACUUAAUGGAAGGGUUGUAGCUUAUAUCACCAAUAAUAUCAGAGUUGUAGAUGUGCCUAGCCUUCGUAGCUACAUUUUAUGAGCUGAUGAGGAUGAUGAAUAAACAUGGGAUAGAACUCUAUUACAGGAUUAUAUAUAUCCUACUAUCUAACAAUCUUAUUUGGAUAUGGACAAUUGUAGGCUCCCCUACCGGUCCGUCAAAGAAAAGAUAUGGACAUAUGUGUUUCUGUUAUAUUUUAUCAUUUGUGUACAAUUCAUAUAAACUUAACAACUGUAAGAUUAUAAUGUGGAGUAUUGUGUGUGGUCAACAUCAUCUCUUUGUAUUAUAAUCUGAUCAGCUGCAAACUCAGAAAUUAGUACUGUAUUAGCAGCCCACAAAUUGUUACCCGUUAUGUUUAGUAUGGUGAAUAUAUUCUCCUGAUCCCUUGUUUAAUUUUCCACAAAUUGUGCAAAAGUUAAUAAAUAAAACUUGUAGACUCUACUAUGGGUGUGGGUUCUAUCCAAGGUUCUGAAAGUUCUAUAGAUAGCAACACAAGAAGAAAACUGGCCAAUGAACUUUUGAAAUCAUUUAAAACGUGCAAACAACACGAAGAAGUCAAUUAAGCUGGUCCAUAUGGACAGAUCAACUGCUUCUAAUAGCUUGUUGAAUCUGGUAGCAUCCACUAUAUAGUUCUAGUAGUUUCCACAUCUCAUUCACUAUCAAAGUAAGAAUUCUAGUUAAUAUGCACUAAGUAGGAGAAGAAUUCACAACAGAUGCUAGCCUUAACUCAUCAUCACAAAAAUAAACCGAAGAAAAUAAAUCAAUAUUUUGGGUUAAGCAUUAAAUGAUUUUAUUAAAAAUCAUAAAGCAUCACUACAAAGAUAGAAAAGUGGCAUGUUCGCUUCAGCUUAUUCAGCCGGCUUAUCAGCCACCAAACAGUGUUUUCCUCUCACAACAAAUCAGCCGUUUCAGCUUUUCAGCCGGCUUAUAAGCUGAAGCGAACAGGCCCAGAAUCAUAAUGUCGAUGAGUGGAAUACUGAAACUCAUAUAGUUGAAAUGCAAAUACUAGUCUAGAACAGCUUAAGAAGAUUUCCUAUGAGGAUAGACAAUGGUUAUUUCACAGCUCCCUAUCAUAAGUUGCAGGAUGUUACUAAAGUUGCCUCUAUUACAUCUAAAGAUUGUAAACACAUCCAUAUUCAAGGAAACUAAAAAUAAUAAAUGUUAAUAUAACAACUUACAGAGGUUCAAACUGUAUACACAAAGAUUGGAGUUUGUUCUUAGUAUUGUAUCGCAAGCAUACAUGAGCAUGAAGACAUGAUGAAUUGAUUACAUGAGGAUCAACAUUUCCUAAGAGUGCCUCAACUUUGACUGGGACCUUGAGCUGGAGAUGAAAUACUUGUACCUGACCAAGGUAUUGGUAGACUGAUCUUCACCAAGAUCUUGCCCUACAAUGCAAAUGUUAGUAUGGUCAUUAUUUGAAAAACAUCAUAUAACAACGAAAUAAGAAAGUUAUGCAAACAACCCUUAUACCAUUGUAUACAUCUUUUUCCUUAAAUAACCAAUCUUUCCUACACACAAAGGCUUCUAACAUCUCCAGAGUUAGUGAACUUUUUGACUUCCCAAGAAUCCUACCUCCAAGACUAAAGGUGGAUUCGGAAGACACAGUGCUAAGAGGAAUGGCGAGAAAAUCAUGUGUCAUGGUUGAUAAGAUUAGGAACUUCUCAGCAUGUGCCUUCCACCAUGCCAAAAUGUGAAAGUUUUCAUAUCCUCCACAUAAUCUUCUUCAAAGUACAUGUCAAAUUUAGACUUUGGUACCCGAGUCUUUCUCCAACUUGACUUGAAAUUUGCAAAUUCUUGUCCUAUCUACUAUUUCACAAGCAUCAUUGAGCCCACAACACUAAUGCCCUCACUUGAAUAUGUCAUAGAUUAUGCACCACCUCUCCUCACACAUUGCUCAUACUCCAUAAAGUAUUUCUUCAUCCAACCUAGAGCAACAUUGACACUUGUAUGAAUCCGAUCUAUAUUCAUACAAAUCUUUUGAUAGAAGAACUCCAACUAUUAUGCUCCCCUCGGAUCUAACAUUAUGUCAAUAACAAUUCCAAAGUUGACAUCAUAAUCCUUUUUAUUUUUUGCAAGGAGUAGUCUGAUUUGACUCAUCAAAAUCUAUACCCCAAUACUUUGCAAACUUGAUCUUCAUGGCUGCAGCCAAGUUUUGUAGCGCCACACUCGUUUGGCAAGCAGGGUCAUCCAAGGCAUCCUGAAUCAAAAGAACCAAAGGCAAGAACUUGUGUGAAGUUGGUUUCCUAUCAGCUGAUACUACCUUUGUAGCCUCUUCAAAGGUUUUAAGAAACCUAUAGAUUGAUUCAGAUUUGCUCCACUCUUCUUCAUUUGGGGAAAUUUCAAUAUCUUGAUUUGCAUAGCUAUUAAGGACCACAUUGUACUUUAUUCCUCCAAACAUUCUGAAGGUGAAAUUCCAAAGGUUGGGUAUGUCAAGAGGAAUACCACAUUUUGUAGGAAGACCAUUCACCAAUGCAAUUAUAUUAAAAUCUUUUAUUUGUCAUGGUAAAGAGUUCAUAUGCUUUGAGAGCUCCUGAAUCUUCUUUAUCCCCUCAUGAAUAAUCUUCAUGCCAUCCUGAACCAAAAUAUUCACGAUAUGUGCACAACAUCUUACAUACAAAUGUGCACCCUCAAACAUCAACUCAUGCUUCUAGAAACACCAACUCCUCCCAUGCGCUAUUGUUGUUACUAGCAUUAUCCAUUGUUAGAGUAAACAACUUGUUUCGUAUGCCCCAUUUGGUUAGGCCACUCACAAGUGCUUCUUCAAUGGCAAAGCAUGUGUGUGGAUACUUCACCUUCUUAUUAUCUUCUUCUUUAUCUUGAAGUCAGGAGUGAUAAGAUGAGCUGUUAUAAUAUGUAGCCUAAGUUUUUUAUCAAUGUCCACAAAUCUGACGUUAGACACACACGGUAGUCUAGGCUUUGAAGUUCAUUCUAAAGAUCUUGCUUCAUUCUCUGAUACUUUUUUAGACAAUCAUUGUGAAUAGUUUGUCGCCCUAUAUCAGCAUGUAUGACAAACUCAAUCAUACGCUCAGUGAAAAGCUUAGGGACAAACAUAAAGUUUUCUAUAGGUUUCUUCAAUGUUACUAUAAACCUUUAAAAUCAUCAUCAACUCGCACACAGCUUUAAAACCAUCAUCAACUCCUACUAGAUUCUGCUCAAAAUGUUUCCCAACCUUGGACCUUUUAGCAUGUGUUUUUGUUUAAUGAGAAUCAUCAGAUCUUUCAGAUGUGUUUGCAGAAAUGUUAAGGUAACAGGCUAGAAAAUAAAAUCACUAUGUAAGAAAGCAGGUUCAACAACAUAUAAGAAAUCUUAUUUUAGGUUUUUGCAUUUUUAUUUAUUCUAUCUAAUAAAAUCAAGGAACAACAUUUAGGUAUAUAUAAAAAAGAGAGAACAUGAUGAAGGACAGAACAAUUUAGUAGACCAACAGGGAGUAAAAGGGCUUUGCAAAAAAGAACUAGUGCUGUCAUUCCAUUAGCUCUAUUCCUGAACAUAUAAGAACUUCUAUGCGCUAUUAAUUGAAUAGCACAUCUCUAGUGCUAGUAUGUACUACAAAAGUUGGCAGACUACUCUGACAGUAGUGGAAUACAACUACUCUAAAUGCAUUUAGUUAUAGUGAUUAGUUCACAUUCUAGUGAGCUACUCCUAUAGCCUCGAUGCUGCAUAAUUAAGUUGGUAGACUACAUCACUAUCUCUGGAGAAGAAAAAUGCUUAGAGGUUGCCAACCAAAAAGAGUGUGGUUGGAUAUUCAGAUCUAAAAUGUGUAGAUCAGUCUCGCAAGAUUAAGUCUAGCUAACCAAACAUUUCAAUUGGAAAAUACAACCUAUGCUUUUCCCUUUUUAACAUAAAUGGUAACAUUACUACUUCUAGGAAAAAGUCCACUUACUGUACUUAAUUUAACUGCCAAAACUAAGCUGCUUACAUCCAGGGAAAAUUCUUUUUACCAUACAUCUCUGGUGGCUUGAUGAUUUGGCAGGUACAAAGACGGGAAGAGCGCAAGAACACCCAAGAACCCACAUCGCGAGCAUGAGGUACAAACCUUAGGCAAUACGAGAUCGAGAAGAUGACGGGGGAUGAACUCACAAGACUAGCUGCCGAGGGGGGAAGACGAGGUGGAGGCGUCGUGGCGGAUGCGAAGGAGGCGGCCGACGUGGAGGUGCCCGUGUCUAAGGGGAUGGGAUGGAGAGGAGGCAUGCCUUGGUGUUGCCUGCGGGUGAGCGAGGUGGAGGCUUUGCGGCGGCGUGGGCGAGGUGGAUGUGGAGGCGUGGCUACGGCGGUGGGGAAAGGGAGGCGAGGCGAGGCUACGAGGGGUUAGCAUAGUCUCUAUAGGCGGCCC
rnacentral:lncRNA from 1 species